rnacentral:rRNA from 1 species
UACGUAGGGUGCAAGCGUUGUCCGGAAUUAUUGGGCGUAAAGAGCUCGUAGGCGGUUAGUCGCGUCUGCUGUGAAAACUCGGGGCUUAACUCCGGGCCUGCAGUGGGUACGGGCUGACUAGAGUGCGGUAGGGGAGACUGGAAUUCCUGGUGUAGCGGUGAAAUGCGCAGAUAUCAGGAGGAACACCGGUGGCGAAGGCGGGUCACUGGACCACAACUGACGCUGAGGAGCGAAAGCGUGGGUAGCAACAGG